GCGAGCUGGUGAACGAGACGCUGCUACGGCAGAGGAAACUCCUCCCUCCAUGCAGGAAAUGUGUUCCGGCGACGGAUAGUCAGAGAUGACUGGCAACAGAAUAGAAAUUAAUCCGACCUAGCGUACAAUGAUGGCAAAACCUGAGGUUUCUAGAGAAGGAAUGAAAGAGCUGACCCACGUGGAGCAAGGCCAAACAGAACCUUAGGAUCCUGCACUUGGUUCAGGUAGGCUGCAAAGCGAAAUAUCGUUAAAACAGAAGGAGGGUUACGGCCAGCACGC
rfam:Thaumarchaeota archaeon CSP1-1 XT09_C0005, whole genome shotgun sequence.